AACUGAUGGCUUGUGUGUAUAUACUGUAUAUAUGUAUGUGUGUGUGUAUAUAUAUAUAUAUACACACAUACAUAUAUACAGUAUAUACACACAUAUA